rnacentral:rRNA from 1 species
AGUGAACGCUGGCGGUAGGCCUAACACAUGCAAGUCGAACGGCAGCACAGUAAGAGCUUGCUCUUACGGGUGGCGAGUGGCGGACGGGUGUGGAAUACAUCGGAAUCUACUUUUUCGUGGGGGAUAACGUAGGGAAACUUACGCUAAUACCGCAUACGACCUACGGGUGAAAGCAGGGGAUCUUCGGACCUUGCGCGAUUGAAUGAGCCGAUGUCGGAUUAGCUAGUUGGCGGGGUAAAGGCCCACCAAGGCGACGAUCCGUAGCUGGUCUGAGAGGAUGAUCAGCCACACUGGAACUGAGACACGGUCCAGACUCCUACGGGAGGCAGCAGUGGGGAAUAUUGGACAAUGGGCGCAAGCCUGAUCCAGCCAUACCGCGUGGGUGAAGAAGGCCUUCGGGUUGUAAAGCCCUUUUGUUGGGAAAGAAAAGCAGCAGGUUAAUACCCCGCUGUUCUGACGGUACCCAAAGAAUAAGCACCGGCUAACUUCGU